AUGGUUACGGAAGCUAGAAAACUCUCGUUGAGCACCUCCCCAGAUAAAGUUAUGUGGGCCUGGGGCAACAAAGGGAAAUUUAAUACUAAAUCAUUAUAUGAAUGGUUGGAAAAAGAUCUAUCAAGCCCUAAUUAUAAGAUGGUGUGGAAAGCACCUAUUCCUCUGAAAAUUAAGAUCUUUCUUUGGCAGUUGUUCCAGAAUGCAGUUCUUACUCGUGACAAUAUGCGUGCGAGGAACUGGCCUGGGAAUCCCAUGUGCUCCUUUUGCACUAAUAUGGAAACAGCGAAUCAUCUGUUUUUCACAUGCUCGCUUGCCCGUUCAGUUUGGGGGGUGCUGGGCAUGACGGCUGGGGCGUCAUGUUGCCCCCGCUCGCUUUGGCAAAGUUUCGCUUGGCUCUAUAAGUUCUUUCCAGGCGGAAAUCAUUUUUAUAUGAUGAUUAUUGUUGCGAUAUGCUGGGGGAUUUGGAUACUCCGCAAUAAAGUUACCUUUGAUAAUCAUACUGUUCGUUCGCCUUUAGAGGCUGUCUUCACUGCCUGUUCGUUUUUGUUGUACUGA
rnacentral:rRNA from 1 species